UAAUACGUAGGGGGCAAGCGUUGUCCGGAAUUAUUGGGCGUAAAGCGCGCGCAGGCGGUGAUUUAAGUUUGGUGUAUAAUCCCGGGGCUCAACCCCGGAUCGCACUGAAAACUGGGUCACUUGAGUGCGGGAGAGGAAAGUGGAAUUCCACGUGUAGCGGUGAAAUGCGUAGAGAUGUGGAGGAACACCAGUGGCGAAGGCGACUUUCUGGCCCGUAACUGACGCUGAGGCGCGAAAGCGUGGGGAGCAAACAGGAUUAGAUACCCUGGUAGUCCACGCCGUAAACGAUGAGUGCUAGGUGUUAGGGGUUUCAAUACCCUUGGUGCCGAAGUUAACACAGUAAGCACUCCGCCUGGGGAGUACGCUCGCAAGAGUG
rnacentral:rRNA from 1 species